rnacentral:tRNA from 1 species
UAGCUAUUAAUUUCUUUAGAAUAUUUUAUUGUGAUUAAAAAAGAUUUUAGCUAA